AACGCGAAGAACCUUACCUGGGCUUGAACCGCACAGGACCCUCCCUAGAAAUAGGGACUUCCCGCAAGGGACCUGUGUAGAGGUGCUGCAUGGCUGUCGUCAGCUCGUGCCGUGAGGUGUUGGGUUAAGUCCCGCAACGAGCGCAACCCUUACUCAUAGUUGCUACCCGCAAGGGAGAACUCUAUGAGGACUGCUCCGGAUAACGGAGAGGAAGGUGGGGAUGAGGUCAAGUCAGCAGUCGUACUU
rnacentral:rRNA from 1 species